rfam:Nicotiana attenuata strain TT chromosome 6, whole genome shotgun sequence.
UGACAAUGAUGUGGACAGUCUCUGAGUAUUUUCUUGUAUCUUUCCCAUGCUUGACGAAGUGUUUCACCAUCCCGUUGUUCGAACCCAAGAAUCUGACUCCUCAAUGA